rnacentral:rRNA from 1 species
GGGGGUCCGAUGAACUAGCAUGCGAGUCAUUGUAGUAAUACAAGGCAGACGGCUCAGUAACGCGUAGUCAACCUACCCUAUGGACGGGGAUAACCUCGGGAAACUGAGAAUAAUACCCGAUAGAACAUUAUGCCUGGAAUGGUUUAUGUUUCAAAUAAUUUAUUGCCGUAGGAUGGGACUGCGGCCUAUCAGUUUGUUGGUGAGGUAAUGGCCCACCAAGACUAUUACAGGUACGGGCUCUGAGAGGAGUAGCCCGGAGAUGGGUACUGAGACACGGACCCAGGCCCUAUGGGGCGCAGCAGGCGAGAAAACUUUGCAAUGUGCGAAAGCACGACAAGGUUAGUCCGAGUGGUUUCUGCUAAAGGAACCUUUUGUCAGUCCUAGAAACACUGAUGAAUAAGGGGUGGGCAAGUUCUGGUGUCAGCCGCCGCGGUAAAACCAGCACCUCAAGUGGUCAGGAUGAUUAUUGGGCCUAAAGCAUCCGUAGCCUGCUUUGUAAGUUUUCGGUUAAAUCCAUACGCUCAACGUAUGGGCUGCCGGGAAUACUGCAAAGCUAGGGAGUGGGAGAGGUAGACGGUACUCGGUAGGAAGGGGUAAAAUCCUUUGAUCUAUUGAUGACCACCUGUGGCGAAGGCGGUCUACCAGAACACGUCCGACGGUGAGGGAUGAAAGCUGGGGGAGCAAACCGGAUUAGAUACCCGGGUAGUCCCAGCUGUAAACUAUGCAAACUCAGUGAUGCAUUGGCUUGAUGCCAAUGCAGUGCUGCAGGGAAGCCGUUAAGUUUGCCGCCUGGGAAGUACGUACGCAAGUAUGAAACUUAAAGGAAUUGGCGGGGGAGCACCACAAGGGGUGAAGCCUGCGGUUCAAUUGGAGUCAACGCCGGG